AGCGGAAAGCGCGCGCCAGCUGCACGCAGGGAAACAGUUCUCAUUUUGUGUGCUCGGCUGACUACACGUCCAGCCUCGGGCCAGCUCGAGACGGCCACAUUGCCUGGUUGAAGAUGGCUGAGCGUAAAACAGAAUGCAAGUCAGCUGGGGCACGUACUACUGGAGGCAGAGCCCCAUGAGAAGGGGCCAAGAACCCGCACCCACCAAAAUCAAGAAGAAAGGCUGAACCCAGAGAGAAAAGGGAGCACUGUUCACAGUAGCAAUGACAUGGAGUCAACCUAAAUGUCCAUCAAUGAUAGACUGGAUAAAGAAAAUGUGGUACAUAUACACCAUGGAAUACUAUGCAGCCAUCAAAAGGAAUGAGAUCAUGCCCUUUGCAGAGACAUGGAUGGAGCUGGAAGCUAUUAUCUUCAGCAAAAGAAUGCAGGAACAGAAAACCAAAUACUGGAUGUUCUCACGUCAACUGAUGUUGCCAUGCAGAUCCCUUGGUUGCUAUGAGAUGGUAACAUCACUCUGCCCCACCAUUGGCCAGUGCCUCCUCAGCUGCGGUGCCUCCCAGGCUGUGUGGUUCUCACGCGGGCCACUGACACAGAGCUGUUACUAUGGUGAACUUUACAAUUUCCUUUGAUUGGUGGAUUUCAGAAAUAGGCCAUCAGCAGAAUUCAUUAUAUUCAGCUAAGUAAAAAUGAAAAAUAAAUACUAUAACUUUCCCCUCAUCACUAACAUGAAGGAAACGUGACCCUUCAUGACAUAAUAAAUCGCUGUUCGGUAACUUAGGAUCCUUCAGAGGACUGAAGCGGGAUGAUCCUCCUAUGCCAAAUUUGGGUGGGAAAGAUAUUCCCUGUAGCUUUGAGUCGACUCUUCAGAGUUAAGGGCAGUGGGCCAACCAGAGUUGGAACUUCAGAGUUGGGAGGAGGUGUGGGAUGGGGCAUGCAUUGAAAUGUAAACUCUAUUGUCUCUGAAGUGAUGGGUGAUGCUGGGGGCCUGAGUGUGGAGGGCAGUUUUACAUCUCAGGACAAUGUUUUCUCAGAUGCUCUUCCAGAAAGGAAAGCCAGGAGUACUCCUGGCUGGAGGCGGCAUGCCUGAGGUCAGAGUCAGAGUAGGGUUUGUGCUGUCUGAAUCCUUUCUCCCGCUCUCCCCAGCCUGGCUCAGCUUCUCAGCUUCUCAGGUGGAUUGGUGAGUCCUGGCCAAUUAUGCUUCAGCUCAUCUCUACUCUCGGCAAAUAAGAAAAGGGAGUGAAGGACUGAGUUUUAACCCUUCUAAUUUCGUAACCUGACUCUCUAUAAGAAAAAGUAGGAGAAAGACUGAAGAACCCGAGAGAACAGGCCUCUGAGCCCAAGCCAAGCCAUCGCAUCCCCUGUGACUUGCACGUAUAUACGCCCAGAUGGCCUGAAGUAACUGAAGAAUCACAAAAGAAGUGAAUAUGCCUUGCCCCACCUUGACUGAUGACAUUCCACCACAAAAGAAGUGUAAAUGGCCGGUCCUUGCCUUAACUGAUGACAUUACCUUGUGAAAGUCCUUUUCCUGGCUCAAAAAGCACCCCCACUGAGCACCUUGUGACUCCCACUCCUGCCCACUGAGCACCUUGUGACCCCCACUCCUGUCCGCCAGAGAACAAACCCCCUUUGACUGUAAUUUUCCUUUACCUACCCAAAUCCUAUAAAACGGCUCCACCCUUAUCUCCUUUUGGUGACUCUCUUUUCGGACUCAGCCCGCCUGCACCCAGGUGAUUAAAAGCUUUAUUGCUCACACAAAGCCUGUUUAGUGGUCUCUUCACACCGAUGCGCAUGAAAUUUGGUGCCGUGACUCGGAUCGGGGGGCCUCCCUUGGGAGAUCAAUCCCCUGUCCUCCUGCUCUUUGCUCCGUGAGAAAGAUCCACCUACGACCUCAGGUCCUCAGACCGACCAGCCCAAGAAACAUCUCACCAAUUUCAAAUCCAGUAAGCAGCCUCUUUUUACUCUCUUCUCCAACGUCCCUCACUAUCCCUCAACCUCUUUCUCCUUUCAAUCUUGGUGCCACACUUCAAUCUCUCCCUUCUCUUAAUUUCAAUUCCUUUCAUUUUUCUGGUAGAGACAA